AAAACUUCCUAAUAUUUGCAAAUUGGAAACUCCACCAGUUAGUGCUUGUGCAGCAAUUGGUAUCCCAAUUGCAGCUCCAACAAGUGCUGAAGUUCCUGUUGAGUCACCUGGUAUAACAAAUGGUGAAGUUUCAGCUCUUUCACCUGGAGGUUUAGCUUCAAGUCCUACUACAUCAGAGGAUAAAAAUAAUGCAGCUUCAAUUAUGACAUUUUUCAAGAUGCAAUUGGUUCUAAGCUUGGGAAUUAUAUUCUUCGUAACUAUCUACUGAGUCGAUAUUCGUCUAUGAGAGGCACAGUUGUAUGAUACGUCUUUUGAAGCUUUCCCUUCUGAUUUAACCACAAAUUCUUGAAAUUAAUUCUUGAUAGAG
rnacentral:misc_RNA from 1 species